AUGCCAGCCCCAAUGCCGCCGUCAACCUCCACCAUGGCCCUCACCGGCGAGGCUCGCAAGAAGCGACCUGGGCAUGAACUCCCAAGGUCUGGCUCCAAGAAGAAGAAGAAGAUAGCUGCUGUCCAUGAAGCCCCUGCUGAGAAUGCUGUUGAAGCCGUCCUUGCUUCUGAAUCUGACAAGACCAAGUGCCUCAGUGGCUCUGCCAAGAGGAAGCUGAAGAAGCAACAGCCUAAGAAGGAAGACUCUAAUGGGACCGCUGCUGAGAAAGAGCAGGAGGCUCCCAUUGAACAAGACAAAAUUGAGAUGACCCUUGAAGAUUAUGAGAAGGUGCAAGAAAAUAAGAAGUCUCUGGAGGCCUCUAAACCAGAGGAGAGGAGGGUUGUUGAUGUAGAUUUUGAGGGUCUCCAGCUCUUGGAGAAAAAUUUGAUUGAGGAUAAUCAAUCAAGUGGGGUGUUGUUUUGUUAG
rnacentral:rRNA from 1 species